GCCGGGUGCGGUGGUGCGUGCCUGUAAUCCCAGCAGCUUGGGAGCCUGAGACAGGAGGAUCAUGAGUUCAAAGCCAGCCUCAGCAAAAGCGAGGCACUAAGCAACUCGGUGAGACCCUGUCUCUA
rnacentral:sRNA from 1 species